UACGUAGGGGGCGAGCGUUGUCCGGAAUUAUUGGGCGUAAAGAGCUCGUAGGCGGCUUAGUAAGUCGGCGGUGAAAUACCGAGGCUCAACCUCGGCACUGCCGUCGAUACUGCUAUGGCUAGAGUCUGGUAGAGGAGAACGGAAUUCCCGGUGUAGCGGUGGAAUGCGCAGAUAUCGGGAGGAACACCCGUAGCGAAGGCGGUUCUCUGGGCCGAUACUGACGCUGAGGAGCGAAAGCAUGGGUAGCGAAGAGG
rnacentral:rRNA from 1 species